UAAUUGCAGUAGUUUUGGGAGUGGAAGGUGAGUACAUUAGGUUUAGGAUUAUCGCGGGAUCUCGUGAUCUUGCGGGAAUACGGCUGGCUCGCUAGGCAGCGUUGCGCUGCCGUAACGCGCCCGGUGGAAAUGCAAGCAGGGCAAAGUCGCGGCCAAGACGUGCCGCAGCCGUAACGCAGCCGUAACGCGUCCGGUGGAAUCCCCGGGUGAUUGUCACAUCUCAGCUUCUCAACACACGCCAAGGCACUUUGGACCAGUGUAGAGGUCUGUGGAUUUGGAUUUUUACUUUCUCCUUCAGGAUGAACCCACCAGAAAAUCUAGACAAGGAGACUGGCAAUUGAAUUGAAAGAAACAUUUUAGUCAUCCAACAAAUAUAAUACAACACAGGGGGGAAGGUAAUUGCUUAUUUGAAAUUAAUACGUUAAUGAUAACAAAGUUUCAGAAUUAAUUCACUACUUAAUUACAAAUUAUAGUGGUUGCGACUGGCUUAUGUCCAGUAUCGUUUGCUUCUGAAGUGAUAGGACCUCUUUCUGUAGCAAAAUUACUUCUUUUUUUAAAUGAGCAUUUCAAUGUCAAGCAUGCAUCUUUCUGUCUCCAAUCUAAGAAGUUCCUGAUGACACCAAGCUUGGAGCACUUUUCAGCAGGGGCAUUCACUGGUGAUGUUGCUUCGGCUUUCAGGUUUCCAUCAUCCGGCUCCACUGGCUCUAUCAGGUCAAGCACAGUGAAAGUCUGAGCUAAACAAACAAAAACACAGAAGACAUGAAACAAAUUAAUAGAAGGAUACUGUUACAUAAUUCACACAUUCAUACUGUUACGUAUUUUAAGAACAUAAGCUGCCCCCACAUAGCCUCUAGGAAGCAGAUUCAAACACGCAAGCUGUAUUACCCUCACAUAGCCACUAGGAAGCAGGACCGAACAUAUAAUCCGUAAAUACUGUACAUAGCCACAAGUGGAGCAAGCCCUUACUGAAGGCUGCUCCAUCCACAGAAGGCAGCACUUUUAGAUAGGUGAAGAAGCCGAGGCUAAUACGUCACAUAGGCCACACCCACUUGACCCUAUCAAUCUCGACAGAAAGGUUGGACCUCAGAAACUCUUGGUAGCUCAGACUUGCGGGUUAGAGUUUUGAUCAGCUGGGAGUCGCUCAGCACGUGUUCGACACACUUCCCCUCCUUUUGCUCCGUAGUUACCAUACCGAAAUACUUUAACAAAUAAAGUGAGUAAAAAGCGAUCCGGAUUGGACUACAUUCUUCGAAGAAUGCUGCAAUACCAACAGGCCACAUAUGCCCUUGCUAAUUAAAGAGGCUUCUUUCUCACGUUAAGGAGGGAUCCUGAGCCUAGGGAGGCGUACAGCUCAUACAGGAGGCCAUUCAACAUGUGUCAAUUCGAGAGAUAUGAGCGGUCAAGAUGUUUGAGAGACCCAGAAGCUCAAGGCCACAAAAACAAGUGUAAUUCCCGCACAUAGCCACAAACCAAGUUGCAAUGCCAACACAUAGCCGCAAGGGACAGCAUAAAGACACAUACGGUUAUCAAGGGGGCGGGAGUUCAGCACUAUGCUUAGCCAAUCAGAGCACAUAACUGAGUCCACGCCUGCCCAGUAUUAAAGUCACAAUGCAUAGCCCAGGGGGACAGAACGCUCCAGGUAACGCAUCCUUCAGAAUGCCCUACUAAGGGCCCGUGUCCACCAAAAGCGUUUUUAAAAGACGGAGCGCAGGUCUGCAAUGCAUUCUCUAUGGCAGGACGCGCAAGCAGCGCGCCUUUUAAAAAGCCGCCCGGAGCGUUUAAACGCUCCACGCGCCUUGCGCUUUUAGACGCGCGCCCCCGUUGAAAAAAAUUUAACUUUUGAAGAAAAGCGCUCCGUGUCAUCGGCGCUUUUUUUGAACGACCAAUCAAAAUCGAGGAGGAGGCAAGGCUAAAAUUAUCAACGGAACUCAAACGGAAACAAACUGAAACAUGUCGGACGAAAGCUUGAUAACAGCUGUGAGUGAGUGUCCGGUCCUGUACGACCUCACGUUAAAGGCGUAUCACGACCAAACAAAACGCAACCAGGCCUGGCGAGACAUUUCAGCUAUGCUGGGCGUUACAGGUGAGAAUUAUUAAUUAAUUAUUUAUAUAUAUUAUUAUCAUGUUUAUUAGUGAUAUCGCAUUUAACUAUUAGCUGUUAGGUACAAACUGCCACCCGUACUUGGCAGUUAGUAUUAACGUUAACUUGGCAGUUAGUAUUAACGUUACUGAUAGGUAGGCUUGAUAUUAACCUUGUAGGUUGUGUGAAUUGCUAAUUGUAGAGACAUAAUCUUGUAUCAACAGCUGAAGUGUCCCGCAAGAAAUGGAAAUACGUGAUAAAUAUUUGAGGGAGAGGAAGGCAGAGAGGGACAGAAAGAAAAGUGGGGCCGGUUUCAAGAGGUGGAAGUAUAUGGCCAUCAUGGGCUUCCUGGAGCGCCAUGUGAAGGAGAGGGUGACGUCUAGCAACAUGGAGCAGGGAGAUUAAAGCCAGGUGGUGGCUCAAAGUGAAGAGGAGAUAUCUCCUCCCUCUCCCAGCCUAUCAGAGUCCGCUGUGGACACUUCUCCUCCAUCUCCUCCCACUACCUCUACGGUGGCUCUGUUCACACCGCUGCGUCCUGUACCUCCACCUCCACGCAGGAGACAGCUGGAGCAGCCGCUGUCUGUGUUCCAGCAAUCAAUCCUGUCCUCCAUCCAAAAAGAAAAGGGGAAUACAAUGGCUGUGGACGAGGAUGAGCAUUUUAUGCUCAGCCUCGUCCCAUCAUUGAGGAGGCUGUCAAACCAGAAAAGGGCCCAGGCGCGCAUGAGGAUGCAGCAGGUCCUUUACGAUGUGGAGUUUGGAGAGUAAUUCAUUUGUAAUCAUUUUCUAUUUAGAUUUAGUUUUAAGAUUUAAGAUUUUUUUAAAUGUGUAAAUAAAAUUUGUAGUCAGUUUCUAUUUAGAUUUAGUUGUAAGAUUUUUUUAAAUGUGUCGAUAAAAUUUGUGAUCAGUUUCUAUUUAGAUUUAGUUUAAGCUUUAAGAUUUUUUUAAAUGUGUACAUAAUAUCUUGG
ensembl:lncRNA